AACGAACGCUGGCGGCACGCCUCAUACAUGCAAGUCGAGCGCGAAACCACCUUCGGGUGGCGUAAAGCGGCGAACGGGUGAGUAACAGGUGGGUAACCUGCCUUUUGGUGUGGGACAACAGCUGGAAACGGCUGCUAAUACCGCAUGUGAUUGCGCGCUCAUGGCGCGUAAGGAAAGACGCUUCACGGCGUCGCCAUAAGAUGGGCCCGCCCCCAUUAGCUAGUUGGUGAGGUAAAGGCUCACCAAGGCGACGAUCCGUAGCGGGUCUGAGAGGACGACCCGCCACACUGGAACUGAGACACGGUCCAGACACCUACGGGUGGCUGCAGUCGAGAAUCCUUCGCAAUGGGGGGAAACCCCUGACGAAGCGACGCCGCGUGUAGGAUGAAGGCCUCGGUUGUAAACGUACUAGUCAGCUGGAAGAAGAUUCGGUUAA
rnacentral:rRNA from 1 species